CUUUUUAGGGCUGCACCGGCAGCAUAUGGAGGUUCCUAGGCUAGGGGUUUAAUCGAACCUGCAGCUGCCGGCCUAUGCCACAGCCACAGAAAUGCCAGAUCCAAGCCAAGUCUGUGACCUACACAGCUCACAGCAAGGCCAGAUCCUUUACCCAUUGAGUGAGGCCAGGGAUUGAGCCCACAUCCUCAUGGUUCCUAGUUGGGUUCAUUAACCACUGAGCCAUGAAGGGAACUCCCACCAUGGGUUAUUUUAAAUGUUUCUUGUUCCUUGUAUUUCCCCAAAUUGGCAGGUGGUUAGGGGUGAGUUGCCUACUAGACAUACAAGAAAAGAAGGGAGAAUAGGCAGUUGGAUACAGGCUGGAGACAGGAGAGAAUAAAUUGUGAAUCAUAGACAUGGAGAACUUAAAGCCAUGAUUCUAGGUGAGAUGGCUGAGGGAAUGAGAGCAGACAGGCCAGAGAAACGUGGGGGAGGUACCACACCGAGGAAAGAGAUGGGGAGCACAUCCGGUGAGACAAGAACGAUCAGUUAGGACAGUGUCCCCGCAGGCAAGAAAGGAAGGUAUUUGAGGAAGGGAGGAGUGAUGAACUGUGUCAAGUGUGACAACAGAUUCAGUAAAAUAAGGAUGGCAAAUUUAGUACUGAGUUUGGCAAAGACGUCACUGGUGACCUUGAGAGGAGCUCUUGGGUGGAGACUCGAAGGCAGACUGGAAUGGGUUCAAGAGAAUGAAUGAGAGGAAGUGGAGACUCUCAAAGACAACUCUUUUUAAGAAGUUUUGCUGCAGUUCCCGUCGUGGCUCAGUGGAAACGCAUCUGACUGGUAUCCAUGAGGAUGCAGGUUUGAUCCCUGGCCAUGUGCCACAGGAAAAUUUGUUUUCAAGAUGGAUCUUAAGAGCCUAUUUGGAUUGUGUGAGACUGAGAAGGAAACACGUGGAUGCGCGUGUGUUUAGGGGGUUGCUGGAGCAAGAACCUUUGAGGAGGUAAGAAGGACAGAACUCAGGGCCCCUGUGAAGGGUCUGGUCUCCAGGAGGACGGUGGACAGUUCAUCCACUCACCACUCACAGGAGGAAAGUCUGUGCACAGAUGCAAACAGACCAGUAGAUGUGGUGGUGGGAACGUGCAGUUACUGCUUGUUUUCCUCACGUGAUGAGAGGCAGGGCCAGGAGCUGAGAAUGGGGAGAGGUGUUGGAGGUUUGAGGACACAGUAUUCUCCGGGGAGUGGGAAGAAAAAUGGAUAAGGAAAACAUACUAGAUUACUGGUCUUAAAGUGAGAUGGUACAGCCUGGUUGUGCGUGCUUCUCUGGCCAAGUUUAAGUCCUCAGGGAGAUGCAGAGUAGGCAGAGACUUAGAUCUACCCAGAAGUGGGCUCUUUCCUGUCGACAGGAGAAAGGGGCAAGGGCACUGAGAGUGAAGGCAAGGAAGCGGUUUUAUUUCAUUUUUUUGCUUUCUAGGGCUGCACUCGCAGCACAUGGAGAUUCCCCGGCUAGGGACUGAAUAGGAGCUACAGCUGCCGGCCUACACCACAGCCCCAGCAAUGCAGGAUCCGAGCCACAUCUGCGACCGACACCACAGCUCACAGCAAUGCCAGAUUCUUAACCCACUGAGGGAGGCCAGGGACUGAACCCGAAACCUCAGGGUUCCUAGUUGGCUUCAUUUCCGCUGCACCACCUGGGAACUCUGGUUUUAACAACAGCAUGUUUGAGGGUUUGCUUACACAAGAGAUGUUCAGUUUUUUUGUUUUUGUUUUUUUGCUUUUCAGGGCCGCACCUGUAGCAUAUGGAAAUUCCCAGCUAGAGGUCAAAUUAGAGCUACUGCUGUCAGCCUACGCCACAGCACCGCCAGAUCCAAGCCUUGCCUUCAACCUACACCACAGCUCAUAGCAAUGCCGGAUCCCUGACCCACUUAGUGAGGCCAGGGAUCAAACCUGAGUCUUCAUGGAUAUUAUAGUCGGUUCGUUACCACUGAGCCACAACAGGAACUCCCUCAUCUUUAGAUUUUUACAGGAGAGUUUAUUUAAAAAAAAAAAAGUCUAAUUGUUUAAUCACUGUUAUUUGGGAGCUCUAUUUCUCUUAGCUGAACCUAAUCUUAACCGAUAUUUUAGGGAAAAAGCUUAAUACAGGAAAUAUAUCUAUUUUAAAUAUUUGAACACAUAUUUAUCUUGCCUAAACUUAAUUCGAUGGUUGUAUCUUUUUCUUUUUGUUCCUUUUUUCCCUCUUUUGGUGGCCUGGUGGCAUAUGGCACUCCUGGGCCAGGAAUCAGACCCAAGCCACAGCUGUGAACUAUGAUGCAGCUGCAGCAAUGCUGGGUCCUUAACCCACUCUGCCGGUCUGGGGAUCAAACCUGCAUCCAGGCGCUCCAGGGACACCACCGAUCCUCAGGAGCUCCUCAAUGGUAGUAUUCAGCGACUCACCUUUAUUAAGUCUUUCCAAAGCAUUUACCUUAGUUUCUACAGAAAUAAGAACUUUCUUUUAGCAGUCCUAUUCAUCAGUUUAUGUAAUAUUUAAUUAAAGUACGUGCUUACCUUAUUUUCAUCAGAAAGUUUCUUCUAAUCCUCAUAUUUUAUUAGUUUAUACCAUCUUUAAUUGAAUUAUGUAAUUGCAAUGGUGAACACCACUGGCAAAAACAAACUUGGGAAAAACACAACUGUCUUUUGGAAAGCACAUAACCCAGCCAUGUGAGCAGUGUCUUCACACACCAACCCCUCCUAUGUCUGAAGGAGUGAGGAGACAGAACAUUAGUUACCUAUCCUGAGGGUCAGUUGAGUACAUGCCAGGUCUCCUACAGAGCGUCUUUUUACAUUAAUAUAGUUCAAAAACAGAAUCUUGAUUAAACAUUUAACCUCACAAAUCCAUGAGCAACUUACUGUUGAUGCGCAUGUGGACAGGUGCAAACAUUCUGGAGGGCAGUACCUACCAAAAUCCAUAAAGAGAUCAUAGAAUUUGACUAAGUUUUUUUUGUUUUUUGGUUUUUUUUUUUUUUUUUUUUUUUUUUGUCUUUUUAGGGCUGCACCUGUGGCAUAUGGAGGUUCCCAGGCUAGGGGUUGAAUCAGAGCUGUAGCUGCCGGCCUACACCACAGGAUACAGCUGCAUCCUUAACCCACUGAGCAAGGCCAGGGAUUGAACCCAUGUCCUUGUGGACAUGAGUCAAGUUUGCUGGAGUCACAAUAGGAAGUCCCCUUUAGGAUUUUUUUUUUUUUAAUUACAAAUGGCUUUAAUGGAGUUCCCGUCGUGGCUCAGUGGUUAACGAACCUGUGACUAGUAUCCGUGAGGUCAUGGGUUUAAUCACUGGCCUCGCUCAGUGACUUAAGGAUCUUGGCGUUGCCUUGAGCUGUGGUGUAGGUCACAGUUGUGGCUUGGAUCUGGUGUUGCUGUGGCUG
rnacentral:lncRNA from 1 species